rnacentral:rRNA from 1 species
GUUUGAUCCUGGCUCAUAGCGAACGCUAGCGGCGCGCCUAACACAUGCAAGUCGUGCGAGAAAGUGGGGGCAACUCCAUGAGUAGAGCGGCGCACGGGUGAGUAACGCGUGGGUAAUCUACCCCUAAGAUCGGGAUAACCCGCCGAAAGGCGGGCUAAUACCGCAUAACAUCCCGAUGACACAAGUCGUUGGGAUCAAAGCCGCAAGGCGUCUGGGGAGGGGCCCGCGGCCGAUCAGCUAGUUGGUGAGGUAACGGCUCACCAAGGCUGCGACCGGUAGCUGGCCUGAGAGGGUGGCCGGCCACACUGGAACUGCGACACGGUCCAGACUCCUACGGGAGGCAGCAGUGGGGAAUCUUGCGCAAUGGGCGAAAGCCUGACGCAGCGACGCCGCGUGGGGGAUGAAGCCUUUCGGGGUGUAAACCCCUUUUAGCCCGGACGAAACCCUGGCAACAGGGCCGACGGUACGGGCAGAAAAAGCCCCGGCUAACUACGUGCCAGCAGCCGCGGUAAAACGUAGGGGGCCAGCGUUGCUCGGAAUGACUGGGCGUAAAGGGUCUGUAGGCGGUGCGGCAAGUCGGAAGUGAAAUCCUGCGGCUUAACUGCAGGGCUGCUUCCGAAACUGCCGCGCUUGAGUGCGGGAGAGGGGAGUGGAAUUGCCGGUGUAGCGGUGAAAUGCGUAGAUAUCGGGAGGAACACCGG